GCGGCCACGCGGGCUCCGGGAGUGGCGGUCGCUCUGGGUGAGGACGGCCGGCCUGGCUGGGAACCUGUGCCUCGCCCGGCCGGGUGGGGCCGCGCGGAAUGACCCAGGAAACGAAGUCACGCGCUUGUCUCAGGCCCAAGGCCGGGUGCACCCUGGCCGGCUGGCCUGUCAGCGUCGUGUCGGUUUCGGGGCGCGCGGCGGCGCCUGGACCGUGCGUCCGCGGAGCGCGCGGAGCCUGGGCAGGGGUGAGGGGGCGCCGGCAGGCACCACCUUUAGAAUUCUCUUCAUCAUUAGAAGCCCCUUCCCCAGAAAUCACUGUGUCUACACCCAGGUCUCUACCAGUUCGGGACUGAGUGAGUCAGCAGCAGUCAAACAGGUGGCUCCAGCAAGACUCCCUGUUUCCCUCCGAGAUCCUCUGGCUGCUUCGUAGAGAAUAACUUGAUGGAGGCAGAACCAUUAGGAGGCCUGUGAUAUUUCUGAGAAGAGAUGCCGGUGAUGUCGGAUGAUGGCCAUGAAAACGGGGCAAGAGUGGACAGAUUUGACAGCAAAGUUGGAGAUGUAAUUGCAAGAGAGGGAAUGCACCUGUUUACCAGCAUCGAGACUAAGGAGUAGAACAUGAUCAGCAUCCCAGGAGUGGUCCUCCUGUUCUCCUCAGUCACUGCCCGCACCAAGGAUAACUAACUGUUCUGACUUCUAACAUCAUGGAUGAUCUUUGCUUGUUAAGGAACUGUAAAUAAA